UAGGGAAUCUUCCGCAAUGGGCGAAAGCUUGACGGAGCAACGCCGCGUGAGUGAUGAAGGUCUUCGGAUCGUAAAACUCUGUUAUUAGGGAAGAACAAAUGUGUAAGUAACUAUGCACGUCUUGACGGUACCUAAUCAGAAAGCCACGGCUAACUACGUGCCAGCAGCCGCGGUAAUACGUAGGUGGCAAGCGUUAUCCGGAAUUAUUGGGCGUAAAGCGCGCGUAGGCGGUUUUUUAAGUCUGAUGUGAAAGCCCACGGCUAAACCGUGGAGGGUCAUUGGAAACUGGAAAACUUGAGUGCAGAAGAGGAAAGUGGAAGUCCAUGUGUAGCGGUGAGAUGCGCAGAGAUAUGGAGGAAAACCAGUGGCGAAGGCGACUUUCUGGUCUGUAACUGACGCUGAUGUGCGAAAGCGUGGGGAUCAAACAGG
rnacentral:rRNA from 1 species